CAUCACCCGUCUUCCUUAUUUAGAAUCUCCCAAACACGGCUACGUUUAAUCCCUCUGAUAUUUGUUUCUGUAUAUCUGUGGAUAAAUGAUCAAGUUCAUGUUAAAAGCAAUUCAGAGUUGUCAGGUAAAACUAGUUUGGAUGAGUUCCAUCUCUAAUCUCACUCUUUUCCGUGUUUUCCUUUAUUCAAACAACUACACUCAUAUUGUCUAUGGUCCCCCUCUCUUUCUCAUUUGUGGAAUUUCAUUCAUAGUGGUGUUUCAUUGCACCUUUAAAUAUCUCUUUUCAAUAAUUACCUUAUAGUAUCAAUGUCCAGUCUAUUGUGAGCUUUAAUUAAGUCAUCCAGAUCACCUCCCCGCAGAUACUGCAUUGCAAAGAAAAUGUGAUCCUGUUUGCAAAUAGAGAAAUGAAAUGGAUCAAACAGGAGUCCAUGUAGCAUCACACAUACUUUAUCUUUAUUGUAAUAGAAUGGUUGAUGGAUGUAAUUUUAUUACUUCAGUCUGGAACGUGGCGUAAGCAUCCGUGAGGAAGCGGCAUCCACUGGCCACCUCAAGCACCCGACGUUCCACUAAAAUGCUUUCCUUAUCAUCCAAAUCUUGUAGCAGUUGGCUCUUUUUCACAAUCUUUACUGCCAGAUUCUCUUUAGUUAUAAUAUCGGACGCUAGCAUCACCUGGAGAAGACACAGCGUUAAGGCAUAGAGAUAGGGUACUGGAAGAUCACCAUUAGAAAAGUACCAUUUCUAUUCGAUUUCAUUGAGAAAAGUGAC